UGUUUCUUCUUUCUAUGCCUUUUCUGAUACUGUUUACUCUAUACAGAAUAUUAUCUCAAGGUGCCCAUGCCCUCACACACAAAUUUUGAUCUAGUCAACUGAUACUCAUUCUAAAAGUCUCCAAUAAACAUGGCUUCUUAAAAGCCUUUUCUGUCUCUCCCUCCCCUAUACCAACUAAGACUAAGAUGGUCCCUUCCUGGGGUCCUGUAACACUCUAUACACACUUCUGAAAUACAAAUAUCACUCCAAUUGUUGACUUACUUUUCCCACUAGACUACACUCCUUGAAAGAAAUAUGUCUUAUGUAAUUGAUUACUUCUAGUACUUCAUUCUUUGCUUGGCACAUAUUAGAUAUUUGACAAAUGUUUGUUGAAUGAAUGGAGAGACAGAUUCUUUUUUCUUAUUUUUUUAAAUUAAUAGAUUUAUUAUUUAGAGCAUUUUUUUUUGGUUUACAGAAAAACUGAACAGAAAGUACAAAGUUCUCAUAUAAUUGGCAAAACCUGGAAGUAACCAAGAUGUCCUUCAGUAGGUGGAUGAUACAUAAACUGCGGUACAUCAGACAAUGGACAAUUAUUUAGCAAUAAAAAGAAAUGAGCUGGCCCCUCACCCCAUGUGCAGACCCCAUCAUUGGAAGGCCUGGUGCCCACACCGUAUCAAAGAAAAAAGGACUGAGUGCAGAAGAAAAGAGAGCCUGCAUGAUGGAAACAUUUUUUAAAACAAAAGAUGUAUUUCAAUUAAAAGACAUGGAGAAGGCCAGGUGCGGUGGCUCAUGCUUGCAAUAGUAGCACUUUGGGAGGUUGAUGCAGGAGGACUGCUUGAGGCCAGGAGUUCAAGAUCAAUCUGGCCAACAUAGCGAGAUGCCAUCUCUUGAAAAAAAAAAAAAAAAAGACAUGGAGAGGACUGCUCCCAAAGAGAAAGGCAUUACUGCUGUGUUAGUAAAAGAAAAAAGUCCUUCAAAGUUUAGUUGAUAAUGAUAUGGUUGACUGUGAGAGAACUGGAACUUCUAAUUAUUAUCAGUCUUUUCCAAGUAAAAUUCUUCAUGCAAGAACGUAUAAAUUGGAGGUUCUGAAAUCUCAGUUGUUUCAGGGAAGCCAAAAGCAUGCAAACUUACAGAAAAGCAUCAGAAAAACUAAAAUUGGCCAACAUGAGAUGAAGGAGUGAACCGUGUUAGCCAAAGAGCAUUCUUCACUCUUGGAUCAAAGGCAGAAGUUGAAAAAUGCAAAUAAUGUGACCCGCAAGUUGUUGAAGAAAUACAUCAGGCAAAUAAAGUACUUGCUAACAGAUAGACUGAUAACAUAUUUGCAAUAAAAUCUUGGGCCAAAAGAAAAUUUGGGUUUGAAGAAAAUAAAAUUGAUAAAACUUUCGGAAUUCCAGAAGACUCUGACUACAUAGAUUAAAAUAUACCAGGGUGGUAAAGAAUCUACGAGCUCGCAAAUAUGUAAAUUUUUAAAUAUUAUCCAACUAGGCUGGGCACAGUGGCUCAUGCCUGUAAUCCCAGCACUUUGGGAGGCCGAGGCGGGCAGAUAACUUGAGGUCAGGAGUUCGAGACCAGUCUGACCAACGUGGUGAAACCCCAUCUCUACCAAACAUACAAAAAUUAGCCAGGUGUGGUGGCACAUGCCUGUAGUCCUAGCUACUCGGGAGGCUGAGGUAGGAUAAUCACUUAAACCUGCGAGGCAGAGGUUGCAGUGAGCUGAGAUCACGCCACUGCACUCCAGCCUGGGCAACACAGCGAGACUCUGUCUCAAAAAAAAAAAUUAAAAAUUUUAAAAAUCUUAUCCAACUAAAUGUACUGAACUGUCUUUUACCUGUAACAGUGUUUAUCAUUUUAUUAAAGUAUAAAAUGUAAAAAAGAGAAAGAAAUGAACCAUCAAGCCAUGAAAAGAUGUAGAGAAAUCUUAAAUGUGUAUUCCUUUUGUAGUCAUUUUAAGAUUUUAGAAAAUUAUUUGUCAGACAUACCCUACCUGAUUAAAUGUGUAUUCCUAAGUGAAAGAAGCCAAUCUGAAAAGGCUACAUACAUACUGUGGAAUUCCAACUACAUAAUAUUCUAGAAAAGACAAUGGUAAAAACAUCUGUGGUUGCUAAGGGUUGGAGGGAUGAACAGGUGGAGCACCGAGGAUUUUUAGGGCAGUGAAACUACUCUGAUUGAUAACAUAAUGGUGAACACAUGCCAUUAUACACUUGUCAAAACCCAAAGAAUGUACAUCAAGAGUAAACCCUAAUGUAAACUAAGGGCUUCAGGAGAUAAUGAUGUGUCAGUGUAGGUUUGUCAAUUGUAACAUAUGUACCACUCUGGUGAGGGAUGUUGAUAGUGGAGGAGGCUGUACAUGUGUGGGGCAGAGGGGUAUAUGACAAUGCUCUGCUUAAUUUUGCCGCAAAUUUUAAAUUGCUCUAAAAAUUAAAGUAUAUUUUUUAAAAUAUGAAAGAGCUAAACAUACAUCUCAAGAAGAAGAAAAGGAACAGAAAAACAAACAAAAACCCCCAAAACCCAAGAAGUAGAAGGAAAGAAAUAAUAAAGAUAGAAACUAAUGAAACAGAACAUAACUUAAAAUAAAAAUCAACAGAACUAAAACUUUGUUCCUUUGAAAAGUUCUAAGAAGAAACUGAAAAGGUGAAUAGUUUCUAUACCUAAAAACUACAGAAGGAAGAAGUAUCAGGGAGGCAGGCAUGGUCAAUAGUAUAUAAUGCCAUAACAAAGUAAAGUAAAAUUCAUAUUGAAAACUGCCCAGUGGGGUGGUUCCCAUCUAUAAUCUCAACACUUUGGGAGGCCAAGGCAGGAAGACUGCUUGAGGCCAGGAGUUUGAGACCAGCCUGGGCAAUAUAGCAAGACCCUGUUUCUUAAAAAAAGGAAAAGAAAACUGCCCAAUCUAACAAUGAGGACAUCACUGAUAUCUUGGGCAAGAAUAAUUUAAGUGGAAUGGAAUGAAGUAGAACAAGUUUCUAAAAGGAAAAAAAAAUCCCGGAUGUGUUGACAUUAAUGCUGACCUAUAUCUGCAAGAAGCUAGAUUUGAUUUAUCUUUAUCUUUGCACAGUGCCUCACAUAUCGCUGCUUGCAACACUAUUUGCUGAAUUAAUUCAGUUGGAUGGAAAAGAAAGGACCACACAUAAAGGGCUUUAAAUGCUUGACAGUAUUGAGACUUAAAUGAAGAAGUUUUAAGAUUUCUAAACAGAUAUACAGUCUGAUGUUUAAAGAAGAUUAAUCUGGAUGUUAGCUUAAGACUUUUAAAGGUAAUACUGAGGAAAGGGAGACUAGUUAGGAAGUUGUUGCAGCAAUCUAGGCCCUUCUGGAUUAGGAUAGGCCAACAGCAGUGAAGAUAAAGGGUGAAAUUUGAGAGACAUUAUGAAAGUAAACUUCUUAGGAUUUGUCAACAAAUGGAUAUGAAAGUUAGAAGAAAAAGAUGUUA
rnacentral:lncRNA from 10 species